rnacentral:rRNA from 1 species
GUUUCAGCCGCCGCGGUAAUACGAAGGGGGCUAGCGUUGUUCGGAAUUACUGGGCGUAAAGGGCGCGUAGGCGGCCCUGUUAGUCGUGUGUGAAAGGCCUGGGCUCAACCCAGGAACUGCGCACGAUACGGCAGGGCUAGAGUGUGGGAGAGGUUGGUGGAAUUCCCAGUGUAGAGGUGAAAUUCGUAGAUAUUGGGAAGAACACCGGUGGCGAAGGCGGCCAACUGGACCACAACUGACGCUGAGGCGCGAAAGCGUGGGGAGCAAACAGGAUUAGAUACCCCCGUAGUCC